CACUUGUUCUUUCCAAAGAAGUCACCAAUUUGCCAUUGGCAAACCAGACGCUGCCAUAGUUUUAUGUAUAAAGCCGCUUUAAAGGAGUGAUGGGUGCUUCACAUUCCAUCCCUCUCACCACUGGUACUGGUACCAUCACCUUUCUUCACUCAAAUCCCAGAAUAUCCUUGUUUUCUCAGUCAACAGAGUCAAGAUUACAAAACCCAGUAUUCAAAUUAAACCCUAAACCCCAUCAACCAAAUCUUCAAGACCCAGUUGAAGACCAUGUCUCAAUCCUCUCAAGUUGUGCCUGUCCAUGGUGGUGAAGUUGUAGUUAGGGAGACCCAGGAUGAAAGUAGCACAAGGCUAAUUAAUGUUGAUGGGAUUGAUCUGGAAGUGGUUGACAAGACGGUGUAUGAUGCUCUUAUUUGGAGCUCAUUUCAUGGCCUUGUUGUUGGUGACAGGUCUGUUCAGUGAUGGAAACCAUAAAGUCCAAUUGUACAGAAGUCGAACAACAGCAGAGAAUUUGUCAAAUCUCAGUCUCAAUAUGCAGGCAAAAUUUCCAGCUCAAAGGCCAAGCUCGGCUUCCGAAGUUCGCUGUGCCGAAACGAUAAUCUAACGAUGAAGCCGGACCUCAUCGCUUGCAAAUUCAGCGGUCAUCAACCUCGAGAUCGUCGCCGAUACCUGGUUCAUCGACCUCGCAAAAUUUGGCAGCUUCGUUGCCAUCGACCUUAUACUAUUCUGCAACUAAAUUUUUCAGAAAAAUUGAUUCCUGGAAUGAUCGAACAAGCAAAUUAAAGUCCUUACAAAAUCUCAA